rnacentral:rRNA from 1 species
GAUGAACGCUGGCGGCAUGCCUAACACAUGCAAGUCGAACGAGAUCUUCGGGUCUAGUGGCGCACGGGUGCGUAACGCGUGGGAAUCUGCCCUUUGGUUCGGAAUAGCAGUUGGAAACGACUGCUAAUACCGGAUGAUGACGAAAGUCCAAAGAUUUAUCGCCAGAGGAUGAGCCCGCGUAGGAUUAGCUAGUUGGUGUGGUAAAGGCGCACCAAGGCGACGAUCCUUAGCUGGUCUGAGAGGAUGAUCAGCCACACUGGGACUGAGACACGGCCCAGACUCCUACGGGAGGCAGCAGUGGGGAAUAUUGGACAAUGGGCGAAAGCCUGAUCCAGCAAUGCCGCGUGAGUGAUGAAGGCCUUAGGGUUGUAAAGCUCUUUUACCCGGGAUGAUAAUGACAGUACCGGGAGAAUAAGCUCCGGCUAACUCCGUGCCAGCAGCCGCCGCCG